GCUAUUUUGCGUAGGGUGCUUUCGCUGCGAUUCCGAGAACCUUUGAAGUCAGUACUGGAGAAGGAUUCGCUGAGAUUCUUCUAGUCCAACACGAUCGUUGUACAGAGGUUCAUUUCCUGUUGAGCAGUUAGAGCAUGUGCAUUAUUUCCUCACAUGACAUCAACAGUGCAGCAUCAGCCUCUGGCAUGUAAAGGCACCCAGUAGACUUAUGCUCUGUGCAAUGGCUGCUUAGCAACCACCAUCAAAUAAAGUAAUGAAGCUUUUGUAGAGUGCGAUAUCAAAUAGCAACUGGCACCUUCACUUGCACCAUUAAAAAACCUUUAACGUUUCCUUCAGUUUUCACAUAUCCAUUAAAAAGUAUAUUAAAAAACAAAACCCAGACUGCUUGAUAAAACAUACUUAAACAAUUUUCCAAGUUUAGUAUUAGCCUCUUGGUAAGUUAUGAGCAAUACCAGAGCUGAGUAAAAGAGUCUUCAUUUUGCUAUCAUACUCCAGCAAAGCCAAUACACAAAACUAGGUAUGUUAGAAAGUCUGCUCUACUAGAUUUAGAGCUGCUUCUAAGUUCCAGACAAAACACCUUUUUAAGCUUCCAAGUGUAUAUACACACGGUGUUGUACCAAGAUAACUUUUUAAAGUCUAAUUUUUUUGGAUAUUCUUAAAUUACUUCACAGAAAGAAAAAAGGCACAGAGGACACUUGGUUUCCUUACCAGUAGUGGCCUUAAGCUACACACUUGCCUGUGCAGAGUUUAAAGAUAUUCAGCAGCAUUAAUGGUGCCAUAGCCAUUCAUAAAAAGUUUCAGGAAAAGAGUUUAAAAAAAGAAGAAAAGCUUGCCAGAAAAGGCUUACAAUCUGAAGGUUAAAUACAGAAGAAUACAGACAAAGACUGGAGGCAGCAUGGGGGUUGUUAACUAGGAAGCUGCUGGGAAUAGCUGCCUUCUGAGUUUUUGUGCCCAUUUUCCUCCAGUUUUCUCCUGAAAAACUCUGGUCUUUUCCCCUCGUUUUUAAAAUGAGAACAUCCUACUAGAUUGGGUUUGGAGGAUAAAUGCAAAUAGGCAGAAGCUUAUUUUAUACAUAGUUCAUUCUCAGAGAGGGAAAGGAGGAUGAUAAAUAUUGAAUGAAGCUAAUUUUAGAAAAUAAACAAAUCCUGUCAACCCAUGCCAUAAAGGCCCAGGGAGCACACUGAAUGAAUCUUACAUUCUGGCAUUUGCAAAAGUGUCCUCAAUUUCCUUUUUCAUUUUAUAAGCACAGCAAUAGGCAACACCUAUUUUAUAUCUAGGAUGGGAAGCCCUCUUAGAUUUGAGGCUUUCCAGCUGAUGCAAUCAAAAACCCAUCAAGGACUGCUUAUAGCAACUUGUGUUGAAAUAUAAAACUACUAUUUUAUUUUAAAGAGACCAUAGUUAAUAACAUGUUCCAAAUGAAGCAGUGACACCCAUUUCUUGAUCCUAUCACUUUUCUUGUCACUUAUGACAUCUCUGGGCUUAGAAAGACAGUGAUAUAAAGAUAAUCCAUAGGGGAAUGUCCCUAGUCAGCAUAUUAAGCUGCACAAUUGAGUAGUGAGCUCAAGUUCACUUAUGAAAGUGGUGUCCACCUACCAACUACACAGGGCUAAGUGGAUAUUUAAAAUGGCUGUGGACAAGGUUGUGCUCAACUUCCUACUUUGUUAAUUGAAGACCUAAGGCUGUGUUAGAAGUAGCUCUUAGAAGUCAGGUCACAAGCUCAAACAAAUAUUAACUAUAUACAUUUUAUAAUCUCAGAAUUUUGUGAAGAAUGAGUAUGUUAGUAAACAUGGCCACAUACUGCAUACAUCUCACUAUGGAAGAGAAAAUAUAAAGUGGUACUCAGUUUACACUAAACCAACAAAAAAGCACAUGGGGUGUAUGUGUGUGUGUAUUUAUAUAUCUCACACACUGAGAUAUACUGUUGAUAUUAGUGUCUUAAAAUGACAUUUUUCAUGGAUAUGAUACCCGUUGCCUAAAUCUACUUAGGCCUAGUCCUUGUAGAAACAGAUUUUCAUAAGAGAAUAAGGGCCCAACAGUCUCCUCACCCCCAUCAAUUGGUAGGAUUGCCCUACCAAUCCUCA
rnacentral:antisense_RNA from 1 species